rnacentral:rRNA from 1 species
CUUCUGAGUGGGAUAGCCAUGCUAGUCGACGCACAGAACUAUGUCUGUGAGUGGCAUACUGCUCAGUAACACGUAGCUAACCUACCCUUAGGACAUCGAUAACCCCGAGAAAUUGGGGCUAAUAGGUGAUAGAUGUGAUGUCCUGGAAUGGUAUUACGUCUAAAGGUAUCUCAUAUAUGUUUGAGUUACGCCUAAGGAUGGGGCUGCGGCCGAUCAGGCUGUUGGUGAGGUAAUGGCUCACCAAACCUUUGACCGGUAUGGGCCAUGAGAGUGGUAGCCCAGAGAUGGACACUGAGACAAGGGUCCAGGCCCUACGGGGCGCAGCAGGCGCGAAACCUCCUCAAUGCACUAACGUGCGAAGGGGUCACCUCGAGUGCUACCUGAAGAAGGUGGCUUUUCCUUGGUCUAAAAAGCCUUGGGAAUAAGAGGGGGGCAAGACUGGUGUCAGCCGCCGCGGUAACACCAGCUCCUCGAGUGGUGGGGAUGAUUAUUUGGCCUAAAGCGUCCGUAGCCGGCCGAGUAAGUUUCCCGUUAAAUCCAACGUCUCAAGCGUUGGACUGCGGGAAAUACUACUUGGCUAGAGAGUGGGAGAGGUGUACGGUAUUCUGGGGGUAGGGGCGAAAUCCUUUGAUCCCCGGAGGACCACCAGUGGCGAAGGCUGUACACUAGAACACGUCUGACAGUCAGGGACGAAAGCUGGGGUAGCGAACCGGAUUAUAUACCCGGGUAGUCCCAGCCGUAAACGAUGCAUGCUAUGUGUUGGGUUGGCCACGAGCCACCCCAGUGCCGCACGGAAGCCGUUAAGCAUGCCGCCUGGGAAGUACGAUCGCAAGGUUGAAACUUAAAGGAAUUGGCGGGGGGAGCACCACCAGGCGUGAAGCCUGCGGUUUAAUUGGAGUCAACGCCCGGG